rnacentral:rRNA from 1 species
ACCAGACUCCUACGGGAGGCAGCAGUGGGGGAUAUUGCACAAUGGGGGGAACCCUGAUGCAGCGACGCCGCGUGGGCGAAGAAGCGCCUCGGCGCGUAAAGCCCUGUCAGCAGGGAAGAAAAUGACGGUACCUGAAGAAGAAGCCCCGGCUAACUACGUGCCAGCAGCCGCGGUAAUACGUAGGGGGCAAGCGUUAUCCGGAUUUACUGGGUGUAAAGGGGGCGCAGACGGCGAUGCAAGCCAGGAGUGAAAGCCCGGGGCCCAACCCCGGGACUGCUCUUGGAACUGCGUGGCUGGAGUGCAGGAGGGGCAGGCGGAAUUCCUGGUGUAGCGGUGAAAUGCGUAGAUAUCAGGAGGAACACCGGUGGCGAAGGCGGCCUGCUGGACUGCAACUGACGUUGAGGCCCGAAAGCGUGGGGAGCAAACAGGAUUAGAUACCCCGGUAC